rnacentral:lncRNA from 1 species
GAAAACUGUCAAGUUCUUCCACCCAGAACUAACAACUGGAAAACCGUACCAGCUAUAUGUGAGGCAGCUGAACAGAGUCAGGAUAUAUGGUAUGCAUGAGAAUUCGCCUACACUAGCCUCCUUUAUUACUCUUUUAAAAGUCAAUCUGGAAAACAAAGUGAAAACAAUACAACAGUAAGUAGUACGCCAUGCUGUGUUUAUGAUCAUAUUAGUUAAGUAUGUAAUCAUGUACAUUGGUGCUGAAUAGAGAAGCAUACAGACUGCACAUCCUGCAAGAAAGAACCAAGGUAGUGUUACAAAGUUGAAUUAGUUUGCUUUCAUGAUAAGCAUGGAAAACCCUUCCACUCGAAAUAAUGAUGAAAUGAACUUAUUUAGGUAGUUGUAAACAGAAAAUACCUAUAAUUCCAAGUAUCACACGUAUGCUUGGAACCAUUAUUAUGCUCCGAAGUCUUCACUAGCCUUGCCACAGGAUGCCAGGAGCUAAUUGUUUCAGUGAUCCAUUGUUCACAAUAAUGCUGGGGUAUUUAUAGAAAGCAAAUAUUUUUUUUAAUGCUGAAGCCUGGAGGCAAAGAUAUUGCUCAAACCACCAUGGUAGAAUAUUACAUGUGAAUUGCCUACUUUUCUGUUCAUAUGAAAUUUUUUCUGCGAAUGGAAAGCAGUCAGACAAAGUCUUCUAUAUUUUGUGUGGCAUCUACCAAAUUGAUUCCACCUAUGGGCCUUUAAGAAUCGUAAAAGCUUUCAUGUUCGAUUGUGGUGCAUUGUUGUUGGGUGACUUGGUGUGCCGGAGCAUCUAUUGUAGUUUAUUUUAUAAUAACAUUGAAUAAGAUAUGAUGACAAACUAUUAGAUUUGCUUGACCAUGGAGAUGUAGGGUAACACUGAAAUUCUUAUUGCAAAUGUUGCUCUUGGGUGCCUCUAAGUAGUGCACAACGAGAAGAAAACAAUAAAUAACUGAGUGCUUCUUUGUUAGAUGAAUAUAUUCCGAGUACAAUGAAGUUGUAUCCUCUAGGUACUUCUGAGUUCUGACUAUUGUUAGAUGAAUAUAUUCUGUGUUGUGUAGUUACCUACUAGUGUAUAGUAGGGUAGGGUGUUUCUUGCACCUGUACAUCUCUUGUUAUCACCCGCUUGGGGAAUAGCCAUACUCCAAUUAAGUAGCAGUGGUUAUUUUCAGAAUGAAGCAACUCGGUGGCUCAACGGUGGUUGUGCUUGGUGGUGACUGGUGAAGAAUAUUGCAUAUGAUGAGCUGUUCUGCUAGAAGAUGGGAGUGGUGAAGAAUAUUUUUGAUGAUUCAUGUACAUUUUUCUUAGAUAAUGAUGAUUCAUGUACAUUAACCGCCACGUUUGAUGUCAGGCUUCUGGUCGUGUCAUCCCACUCCUUUUUUUUCCCAGAUUCUUCGCAGGUGCAUCGUUUGUACGAUGAGUUCUUUCCUAUCUCGAUCUGGUCAAGAAUUCAUGGUUUUGCUUAGGUGGCACAUACAGAUUGUAAGUAGUAAGUAUAUAUAUAUGGAAGGUACUUCGUCAAUGUUCAAUAGAAAUCAUCGCAAGCCUAGCAGAAGUGCAGAACAUUUGGGCACCUGAAU